UUUUCUCUCUCUGUCCCACACACAGACACAGGAGCUGCUGGUCCACCGCUGCCUCCUGUGUGACGUUGUAAAAUACCACAUUUGAGUUCAGUGAUGGAGGCAGCCGUGGAGCAGGUGUCUCAGCCAGUCAGAAUCACCGAUUCCCUCUGUGAGGGUCGGUGCGGCACAAAACGGUCUGACGGAGGCGGUUCUCCAAGAUUCCUGGAGUUCGUCUGAGACGAUCACUGUGUGAGGAACGGACGCGGAGGCCGACCAGCGAGGCAGCCGGGGGUUAGCAGGUCACAUUCACGUCAGUCACAUGACUCCAGGACGGCCUCGGGCACGGCGUCAGGAGGUGGACGUACCUGGGAAACUCACCUACACCCUGGGAGGACGGCUCCUGGAUCAUCAGGUGGCGAUCUCGGGCCUUCUUCAGUUUUCUUGGUGCUGCGAGGGUUCUUCUGCGCUCUGCUGACAUCAAACAUCUGCCAUGUCUGAAGACGACCUCCAACCGCCUCUGAGCACCAUCAGCCACAGACUUCAGCUCCUCCCCUUUCCUCCUUCUCUUCCUGUAUGACUGUAGCCAAUCAGCUCUCGAGUCUUUGGCCGACACGCUCGUCGGCUUCCCGCCAACGCCCCCGCUCUUCCAUCUUGACGUCCUCAAACCUGGGAAGACAACGCAGACGACCCCGCCGACCUCAGAAAAGAUCUCUGAAGAUCUCAGAGUCUGAAAAGUGGCCCAAGGUCAAACACGAGGUGAUGGAGUCGAGUCCAUGCUGCUGCUGCUGCUGCUGCUGCUGCUGCUGCUGCUGCAACAGUUCAACACCCUCACAUCUACAAACAGGAAACCACAGCAGCAGCAGCAGCACCUGCUGAGGCACCGACACCUCUGCCUGCUCUCGCUGCUCAGAGAGAAAAGUCAACGUUCAGCCACCUGACAUUCAUAUCAACAUAUCAGCUCUGCAUCACUCCUCACAGACAGGAAGUCGGCCGACAGAGUCAGUCUGUUUCACAGUGUGAAGUAGUGAUACGUUCAAUUCAGUUCAAUCGGUUCCAUUUUGUUACUGAAUUUUAGUUGUUCCAAAAAAUCUGAUCUGAACGUCUCAGCUAACAGAAAGAUGUGGCUCUGGCUAACCUUUAGCUAUUUAUUGGCUAAAUAUUCCAGGCUAAAGUUUCCUUCCAUCUCUAUUUGUGGUUGUAUUUAAAAAGUUGAUCUUCUGAUCUUCGGCUUCACAUUUAUCAUAAACAUGUGACUCCAGUA